UACGAAGGGGGCUAGCGUUGCUCGGAAUCACUGGGCGUAAAGCGUGCGCAGGCGGUUUUGUAAGCCAGAUGUGAAAUCCCCGGGCUUAACCUGGGAAUGGCAUUUGGGACUGCAAGGCUGGAGUACGGCAGAGGAGACUGGAAUUCCUGGUGUAGCAGUGAAAUGCGUAGAGAUCAGGAGGAAUACCGAUGGCGAAGGCAGGUCUCUGGGCUGAUACUGACGCUCAUGCACGAAAGCGUGGGGAGCAAACAGG
rnacentral:rRNA from 1 species